GGAGGUUCCCCUCCAUACUCAGAAUGACCCCCAGAGGACGAGACUGUGGCUGGGCACCCAUGAGGCCAGCUUCUGGAGGAACAGAGCAGCAGGGGCCAAGGGCAUCGUGAGGAUUUGUACUUGGGUCUUCACUUCAUUAGGAUGGACACCACCUUUUUUUAAACUGUGAUGAGAGGUGUGCAGAUCACACCUGAGGGCACCUCAGCCCACACCUCCAGCCCAGUGCUGGUUCUUUGAGAAUAAAGCUUUAUUGGAACACAGCGGUCAUCUCUGGCUGCUUUUGCACCCUGCCGUUGAGCAGUUGCAACAGGGACUGACCAGCUACAAAGCCUGCAACAUCUCUGGUUUCUUAUCAUAUGCUUAAGCAUCCCAGGGAAGCAUCUGCCCAGGAACAACGGCAACUGAUGCUGGGUUUGGGUCUGGUGUGGUUUCGGUUUGCUGAUGUUUAUUAGGGGCUUUAGAGGCAUCCUUUUAAAAAAAGAAAUCUGCAAUACUUUGAUUUGACUUGUAUAAAGUAGAGGGGUUGGCCAGGAUGUUUAGUCAUGUGGUCAGCCUCCAGCCCCACCCUACAUGCUUCUCAGUCAGGAAUGCCCACCUGCUGCCCGCAGGCCCAUGGGCUGUCAGUGAAGGGUCCUCCCACAGUCACAUGGGCCACCUGCCAGGCCCCCCCUGCUGUUCCAUUCCCCAUCCAUCUGGCAGGGGAGAGCAGGCCGACUCCACUGAGCUGGGCGGGAGAGACACCUGCUCCUAGGGGUCCUUCUCCUUGGGGUGCACUGACAUUGCCCCGUGUCCCUCGACUCCCAUGAAUCAUGGAGAGCUAUUUCAAACCUCAGACCAUGGCAACGCCUCUACCCCCGGGACAACGCCGCUCUCAAGGGAGGGGAUCCUUUCCACGGACCACAGAGCCAAGCACAGAAUUAGCUUUGGCCUUUCUACUUGGCCCGUCUUGAGCAUUUGAAAUUUCAUAUGAUGUGUCACUGGGCACGUGUCUCCCACAGACUGACACAAGGAGCUUUUUAAACCAAAGGUCUGCGUUUGCAUGAAGGCUUUGGGGACCGCUUGCACCCACCUCCACUCAGGUUGGGGCAGGAGGACAGAGAUGUCACUGCUGAGCACACACCAGGCUCUGCCACGGGACGCCCCCACCCUAGGAAGAGGCCACCCAGUGUCCAGUGGAUCUAUUACAUUCCCCUUCCUCCCCCAGAGCCAGGUUUUGAUUGGGGACAGACCAAAUGCUACCAAUCACAAUCACCCUGCUGCCGAAAUGGGUCUGCCUUCUGGGUAUCAGUUAUUAGAGUGGAUUAGCGUGUCAAAUCCCCAGGAGAGGAGGUUAUGAUUUCAUCAAAGAAAAACUCAGCAGAAUCCUGGAGCUGCCUGGGAAGUCAACCACACAGGCAAAGCAGACCCCAGUAACCAGGAGUGCGCCCAGGACAGCAGCAGGAGCUCCCGGCAGGUCGUCUUGCUUCAUCAAAACAGUACACAGACCAAGGAGAAGUCCUAGAGUCGGCACGGGAAGCAAGGAUGGACACUUUCGAGUUAGGAGGGGCUCAUCAGACUGCAACCCUGUCGUCGGCUGAGAUGCAUCUGAACCCAGCCGUGCCAUCGUGGUGUGAGAGGCCAGCAGCCAGGGACCAUGCAACCUCCAGAUCUGUGAGACGUGUGUCUGUUGUGAGCCACCUCAUCCCUGAUAUUUUGUCACGGCAGCCGGAGCCAAGACAGGCAAGCGUGGCUCUGGGCCAACAAAACGUCACCGCGGACACUGAGGUUCGAAGUCCGCAUCCCUUUUACGAAUCAUGAAAUAGUACCUUCCUUUGGUUUUUUCCUGCCGUUUUAAAAUGUGAAACCUCUCCUAGCUGGGGCUGUGCAGAAACAGGCGAUGGGCUGGAUUUGGCCGUUGGGCUGCAACAGUUUGCCGGCCCCCGCCCAGGGCACGGACAGAGGCCUCCUCCCUCCACUCACCACUGACCUGACAACGGGUCGGGAUCCUGGUGCCUCGGUCAUUUUAGGAAGGAUGUGGACAAGUGAAAACACCCUUGAGAGAGCAUGGCCUCCGUGUCAGUGUUCCACAGAGAGGCCACUGAAGGCUGGCUGAGCCCGUGGGGCUCUGGACUCUCACUGGAGCGUUGGAUCCCUGCUUCCCGGUCACUGGCUAACAACUCACUGACCCCUUCUCAGCUCCCAUGUGCCACGGGCACAGUCACCAAGCCAGCCUGCAGGGUUUCAUAAGGCUUGGGGGUGACGGCCACGCAUCCAAGGCAUCGGCCAAAGAGAACUGUGUGGGCUUAAGGCAGAAGCCUGGGGCCAAAGGAUGAAAAGAAGACCCUGGAGGACAGUGUCCAGCUGAAGAGCGAGGCCAAGAGUCCUCAGACACUUGAAGGCCUGUCACACCACCGAGGGACUUGAUUUGUUAUUGUCCCUACCAAGCAAAAGUGGGGAAGCCCAUCUCAGAUCACACAGGGACCUUAUUGUCAUCCCAGUUGUCCCCGCUGGGACAUCUGCUUAGAGUUCCCGAGGCCGGAGGCAUCGAGACCCACCAGCACGGGAACUUGCCAAGGAGUGUGCAUCCUCUCGAGCCCCUUGGGAAAUGUGCCUGCCCAUUUGUGAGUCCCAUCAAAGUGGACUUGUUCAGUCCUGUUCCUUGAGGGAAAUACCUAGAUGCCGGGAGAACUGCUGUGCAGUCCCCGCUUAGCAGGAGAUUUCUGAUGGUCCCAAGACCAGCCUUGUUCUGGGGUAGGCUUGAGAGGACAGGAUACGGCAGCACCCAAGGUUGAUCCAAGAGGCAUGUGUCACCUCGGCCUGUAUGUGGCCCCAAUCCAGCAGAGAUGUCCGCCACCUACUGGAAAUGGAAGCAGAACUUGGUGCCUAGCCUUGUCUGUAACAGGCACACGCCAGGACAGACAGUCUCCUACAUCAGGAGCAUAGAACUUUCCGGAAGCCCCAUCUUCCCUGUGUCUCAGGCCACCCCAGCUAGGAGAUAAUUUGGGAAGUGGGGUCAUAGGUGACAGCUGGGCCUGCCAGCAAACGUAUCUGCCAAGUUGGCUUCCUAGCUUAAAUAGGUCUCCACGAGGGCAGGGGUACUUCCUCUUAUUGUCCAAUUUUCUUCUUUUUACUGUGGGAGAAGACACAUUGUGAGUCUUACUGUUUUAACUGUUUUAAGGACAGCUGAAUGGUAUAAAGUACAUUCAUGGUGUAUCUCAUCGUGGUUGGAUCUGCAGUUCCCUCGUGACCAGUGACGUGACCGUGCGCUUACUGAUUAGCAAGUUGGCUUUGGGGGAAAUGUGUUCUAGUCCUUCGCCCAUUUUCCAACCAAGUUGCAUGGUCUUCUCCUGCGAGCCUCAGGACUUCUCUGUGUAGUCUGGGUAUCAAUCUCUUACCAGGCAGAGGAUGUCUAAGUAUCUUCUCCUGUUUUACUGUUUUGUUUGUGUGUUUGUUGCUUUGUUUUCCAGUAUCAGGGCUUGAAUCCAGGGGCAAUUA